rnacentral:rRNA from 1 species
UGCAGCCACGUUGAACAUAGAAAUUUUGAACGCACAUUGCGGUGUUGAGUUGACUCGACGCCGCGUCUGUCUGAGGGUCG